UGUCAACUGGAUUGGCUGAGCCACAUCCGGCAGUGACUUCUUCCGUUGCAACGGCAUCGCCGCCACCGGCAUUGCCUAAAGAGGAAGCAUUCAAGGGUUACUCCUGCCCAGACGUGGCAGAUGGAAAAUCGAUUUCAUGGAAUCGUGGGAAUUUUUGGGUGAUGAUCGAUCCGAUUUGAAAUCGAUACCUCGACAGGAGGUGCCACGAUCCAUGACUCCGAAGCCCUUCUCGCCAUCAACGCGGGACUGCACAAGAGCGCCUCCUCCUCCUCGUCCGGUUCCGACGACCAAAACAUUUUCUUUUUUUUGUUUCUAGAUUUAAUUCCUCUUGUUAAAUACUUAAUAAACAGAGCUUAUAUCUGGAGCGAUUUC